CAGCAGCCGCGGGAAUACGUAGGGUGCAAGCGUUAAUCGGAAUUACUGGGCGUAAAGCGUGCGCAGGCGGUUCUAUAAGACAGAUGUGAAAUCCCCGGGCUCAACCUGGGAACUGCAUUUGUGACUGUAGAGCUGGAGUACGGCAGAGGGGGAUGGAAUUCCGCGUGUAGCAGUGAAAUGCGUAGAUAUGCGGAGGAACACCGAUGGCGAAGGCAAUCCCUUGGGCCUGUACUGACGCUCAUGCACGAAAGCGUGGGGAGCAAACAGGAUUAGAUACCCGAGUAGUCCCUGUCUCUUAUAC
rnacentral:rRNA from 1 species